AACGCUGGCGGCGUGCCUAAUACAUGCAAGUCGAACGGUCUUUUCUAUGGAAGCUUGCUUCCGCUGAGAAGAUAGUGGCGAACGGGUGAGUAACACGUGGGUAACCUGCCCAUAAGAGGGGGAUAACAUCCGGAAACGGGUGCUAAUACCGCAUAGUUUUCUUGAUCGCAUGAUCGGGAAAGAAAAGACGGCCUUUGUGCUGUCGCUUAUGGAUGGACCCGCGGCGUAUUAGUUAGUUGGUGAGGUAACGGCUCACCAAGACGAUGAUACGUAGCCGACCUGAGAGGGUGAUCGGCCACAUUGGGACUGAGACACGGCCCAAACUCCUACGGGAGGCAGCAGUAGGGAAUCUUCCGCAAUGGACGAAAGUCUGACGGAGCAACGCCGCGUGAGUGAAGAAAGGUUUUCGGAUCGUAAAACUCUGUUGUCAGAGAAGAACAAGUUGGAGAGUAACUGCUCCAGCCUUGACGGUAUCUGACCAGAAAGCCACGGCUAACUACGUGCCAGCCGCCGC
rnacentral:rRNA from 1 species